rnacentral:rRNA from 1 species
UACGUAGGUGGCAAGCGUUGUCCGGAAUUAUUGGGCGUAAAGCGCGCGCAGGCGGUUCCUUAAGUCUGGUGUGAAAUCCCAAGGCUCAACCGGGGAGGGUCAUUGGAAACUGGGGGACUGGAGUGCAGAAGAGGAGAGCGGAAUUCCACGUGUAGCGGUGAAAUGCGUAGAGAUGUGGAGGAACACCAGUGGCGAAGGCGGCUCUCUGGUCUGUAACUGACGCUGAGGCGCGAAAGCGUGGGGAGCAAACAGG